rnacentral:rRNA from 1 species
UUCAAUUUUUAGUGGCGAACGGGUGAGUAACGCGUAGGCAACCUGCCCUUUAGACGGGGACAACAUUCCGAAAGGGAUGCUAAUACCGGAUGUGACGCUCCUAUCGCAUGACGGGAGCGUGAAAGAUGGCCUCUACAUGUAAGCUAUCGCUAAAGGAUGGGCCUGCGUCUGAUUAGCUAGUUGGUAGUGUAACGGACAACCAAGGCGAUGAUCAGUAGCCGGUCUGAGAGGUUGAACGGCCACAUUGGGACUGAGAUACGGCCCAGACUCC